rnacentral:rRNA from 1 species
GACGAACGCUGGCGGCGUGCUUAACACAUGCAAGUCGAACGGAAAGGCCCCUUUGGGGGUACUCGAGUGGCGAACGGGUGAGUAACACCUGAGUAACCUGCCCUUGACUUCGGGAUAACUUCAGGAAACUGGGGCUAAUACCGGAUAGGAAUCCUUGCUGCAUGGUGGGGGUUGGAAAGCUUCGGCGGUUUUGGAUGGACUCGCGGCUUAUCAGCUUGUUGGUGGGGUAGUGGCUUACUAAGGCUUUGACGGGUAGCCGGCCUGAGAGGGCGACCGGCCACAUUGGGACUGAGAUACGGCCCAGACUCCUACGGGAGGCAGCAGUGGGGAAUAUUGCACAAUGGGCGGAAGCCUGAUGCAGCAACGCCGCGUGCGGGAUGACGGCCUUCGGGUUGUAAACCGCUUUCAGCAGGGGCGAAGCUUGUGGUGACGGUACCUGCAGAAGAAGCACCGGCUAACUACGUG